AGCCAGUCUCUACAAGCUUCCGUACCGCAGAGACUCAAGAACUGGGUCUCUGAGCCUGAGAGGAAGCUCCAGAGAGUCCGCCCGGAUUAGGCCACAGAAGCGCCGAGCUCCCGCACAGACAGCCUCAGGGCUCACCCCCAACUACGGCGACAGGGCGGACCCGCCGGCUCCAUCAGAUGCACUACCCACCCGCCUCGAGAGAGGGUCUGCAAGGCGGCGACCGCUCCGCUGGCUAAGCCCAGCGGCACACCUAUUCGGAGCUCCAGGCUCGUCACCUACCGCCUGCGCAGCCCGGCGGCAACAGCCGCAGCUCCCCAGCCCCGCCUGGCCGUCGCCGCCAUCUUAGUCCGGAGUGCCUAAGGGUCUCCCUGACAGAACCACGAAAGAUCUGCGCAGCCGCAGGCUGGCCGGUAGCUGGGCGGGCACUGGGAAGAGCCCACCCUACCGGCUGCGGGCGGUCCUGCUGCGGAUAAGUGCGGUGGCCUACGCGCCGAGGUUUGCAGGCUACUGCGUCACCCUGACCAAGAGAGGCCGGGGAACCUUUCCCGUUUGCGCCAACGCUUGGUUAAUUCACGCAGCACUGUGAACGCAUGCGUGUUUCCGUACUUUGUUUUCCCUGUUGGCUAGGUUUUUAGCUGGUGCUGGUGCUGCCUUGCGAAUGCUGUUUCCAGCCCCUAAACCUGACCCAUUCCCUCCUCUAGGACCCUACUCAGCCUCCAGGCCCAGCUCAGUGACUGCCCCCAAAGACUCCCUGGAGCAUUCCUUCUAAAAGGUUCUCGCAUUUCUCCUGCCCUUUUCCCAUGGGUCUGAUGUGGAACUGUGUCUAACCCUUCCUCAUAGCUGUGCUUGUCAGCUGCCACUUGGUCAUCUUGGACCAACCCGCACAGAGGAUGUAUCUGGUACAGUGCUGCCCUUCUCCGAUUAACAUGAGACUUGACUAGUUUCCAGGGCAGAGUGCCAAAGCCCAUUACCUAUUCUUCCAGAACCUUCCUGGAGUAUUCCGUUUUCUCUAGGACAACGGUUCUCAAAGUGCGGACUAGGGGCCAAAAAAAAGCAGGAGAACACGUUAGAAAUGCACGUUAGAACAUGUUAGAAAUCCUGGGCCCCACUUUAUACUUACUGAGGCACAAUCUCUGUAGGUGGGGACUAGAAAUCUUUGUUACUUGCUUUU
rnacentral:lncRNA from 10 species